rnacentral:rRNA from 1 species
CCUACGGGAGGCAGCAGUGGGGAAUAUUGCACAAUGGGGGAAACCCUGAUGCAGCGACGCCGCGUGAGGGAAGAAGUAUUUCGUUUUGUAAAGUUCUUUUAUCAGGGAAGAAAAUGACGGUAUCUCAGUAAGAAGCACCGGCUAACUACGUGCCAGCAGCCGCGGUAAUACGGAGGGGGCAAGCGUUAUCCGGAUUUACUGGGUGUAAAGGGCGCGUAGACGGUGCGGCAAGUCUGAAGUGAAAUGCCGCGGCUUAACUGCGGAACUGCAUUUGAAACUGGUGUUCUAGAGUACGGGAGAGGUAGGCGGAAUUCCUAGUGUAGCGGUGAAAUGCGUAGAUAUUAGGAGGAACACCAGUGGCGAAGGCGGCCUGCUGGACCGUAACUGACGUUGAGGCGCGAAAGCGUGGGGAGCAAACAGGAUUAGAUACCCUUGUAGUC